GUGCUCACUUCGGCAUCACAUAUACUAAAAUUGGAACGAUACAGAGAUUAGCAUGGCCCCUGUGCAAGGAUGACACGCAAAUUCGUGAAGUGUUCCAUUUUUAA
rnacentral:snRNA from 1 species